UACCCGCAGCUCAAGUGGUGGCCACUAUUAUUGAGCCUAAAGCGUCCGUAGCCGGUCUUGUAAAUCUCUGGGUAAAUCCCAUCGCUCAACGGUGGGAAGACUGGAGAGACUGCAAGACUAGGGAUCGGGUGAGGUAAGAGGUACUCCUGGGGUAGGGGUAAAAUCCUGUAAUCCUGGGGGGACGACCGGUGGCGAAGGCGUCUUACUAGAACGACUCCGACGGUGAGGGACGAAGGCUAGGGGAGCAAACCGG
rnacentral:rRNA from 1 species